rnacentral:rRNA from 1 species
UACAAGCCUCACUAAGGUGAAACCGCGAAUGGCUCAUUAAAUCACACCUAAUCUACUGGAUAGUUAACAGGUACUUGGAUACCUGCGGUAAUUCUGGAGCUAAUACAUGCGAAAAGCCUCGAACUUACGUGAGAGGUGCUUUUAUUAGAUCAAAACCAAUCGGCUUCGGCUGUACUCUUGGUGACUCUGAAUAACUUUGGGCUGAUCGUAUAGCCUUGCGCUGACGACAUAUCCUUCGAAGGUGUGCCCUAUCAACUGUCGACUGUGGCAUAGACGCCCACAGUGGUUUUGACGGGUAACGGGGAAUCAGGGUUCGAUUCCGGAGAGGGAGCCUUAAAAACGGCUACCACAUCUAAGGAAGGCAGCAGGCACGCAAAUUACCCAAUGAUCGAAGAUCGAGGUAGUGACGAAAAAUAACGAUCCAGGACUCAUCCGAGGCCCUGGAAUCGGAAUGAGUACACUUUAAAACCGUCCCCGAGGAUCUAUUGGAGGGCAAGUCUGGUGCCAGCAGCCGCGGUAAUUCCAGCUCCAAUAGCGUAUAUUAAAGUUGUUGUGGUUAAAAAGCUCGUAGUUGGAUCUCGGCGGACUGAGGGCGGUUUGCUUGCUAGUAUUACUGCCCUAUAGUCCGUAGUUUUGCCAGAGGUUUCGGGGUGCUCUUAAUCGAGUGUCCCGGGAUGCUGGCAGGUUUACUUUGAAAAAAUUAGAUUGCUCAAAGCAGGCUAUUACGCCUGAAUAUUCGUGCAUGGAAUAAUAGAAUAGGAAGUCGUUUCUAUUUUGUUGGUUUUCGGAAAUCGACUUGAUGAUU